UACGUAGGGUGCGAGCGUUGGUCCGGAAUUACUGGGCGUAAAGAGCUUGGUAGGCGGUUCGUCGCGUCGAUCGUGAAAACAUACAGCUCAACUGUGUGCUUGCGGGUCGAUACGGGCGGACGUAGAGUACGUGCAGGGGAGACUGGAAUUCCUGGUGUAGCGGUGAAAUGCGCAGAUAGUCAAGGAGGAACACCGGUAGGCGAAGGCGGGUCUGCUGGGCAGUGAACUGA
rnacentral:rRNA from 1 species